GAUUCAUGUUCAUGUGUUUGAUUCAUGUUCAUUGUGUUUUUGAAUCAAAACACACUGAACAUGAAUCAAAACACAAUGAACAUGAAUC
rnacentral:pre_miRNA from 1 species